rnacentral:rRNA from 1 species
UAAUACGGAGGGUGCAAGCGUUAUCCGGAUUCACUGGGUUUAAAGGGUGCGUAGGUGGGUCUGUAAGUCAGUGGUGAAAUCUCCGGGCUUAACCCGGAAACUGCCAUUGAUACUAUAGGUCUUGAAUCUUCUGGAGGUCAGCGGAAUAUGUCAUGUAGCGGUGAAAUGCUUAGAUAUGACAUAGAACACCAAUUGCGAAGGCAGCUGACUACGGGAGCAUUGACACUGAGGCACGAAAGCGUGGGGAUCAAACAGGAUUAGAUACCCUGGUAGUCCACGCCCUAAACGAUGGAUACUCGACAUACGCGAUACACAGUGUGUGUCUGAGCGAAAGCAUUAAGUAUCCCACCUGGGAAGUACGACCGCAAGGUUG